rnacentral:rRNA from 1 species
UACGAAGGGGGCGAGCGUUGUUCGGAUUUACUGGGCGUAAAGGGCGCGCAGGCGGCUCAUUUUGUCAGGCGUGAAAGCCCCGGGCUUAACCUGGGAACUGCGUUUGAUACGGAUGGGCUAGAGUUCGGGAGAGGAGAGUGGAAUUCCCAGUGUAGAGGUGAAAUUCGUAGAUAUUGGGAAGAACACCGGUGGCGAAGGCGGCUCUCUGGGACGGUACUGACGCUGAGACGCGAAAGCGUGGGGGAGCGAACAGG